GAAUGCUUUUCGCGUUACAAGUGAGCUGGAAAAUGGUGCUGAGGAAGGUUUUUUGACUCCAACGGAGGCAAAUGAUUUGAUUUGUGGCAUGACUGAGACGGCUUCUUCUCAAAGUGAUGGAAUCUUUAGUGUGUAUAAGAAAUCUGUAGAACCAUUACUACUUCAAAACAAGAAACAAACUUGCAAUCAAAGUGGGAAUAUGAGAGGGAUCAAGGUGGGCCAACCCAGUAAUCAAAGUACUUCAUUAAUCUAAUUUGUGUUAAAGUAGUUUUUUUUUUUUUUUUUUUUUUUGUCGUCUCUUAUUUGAAAGCCUAGAGAUUUCCACAUAUAUGUACUUAGUCAAUGUGGUCAAAUGCAGUUCUGAGCUUUUAUAGUUUUACUUUUU